rnacentral:lncRNA from 1 species
UCAUUGUUCUUUGGUUCCCUUUGAGGCCCUUCUCAACUUUUUUCAUUCCCUUUAUUGUCUAAAUUUGAAAUGAGUUCUACCUCGUCUCUCUCUUGUCAGUCAAAAGAUGGCAUUCCAUGUAACUGGUCCUCAGGGCAUGAUCUAAGGAAGAUUUGUUGUAGAUGAAGAAACAUAAAAGUACUCUAGAUGUAUUGAGAAACUUUUCUAUUGGUACACAUAGUUGAGUUGCAUUAAACAUAUCCAGAUGACUAUGGAGACAAGGAUCAAAGGUAUCUACUGUUCUGGCCAUAGCAAAAUGGCUAAUG